CAUUAGGGUUUGGGUGGGGGACUGUGGAUGUGCCAUUGGCUGAGGCUCUGGGCCAGGCUGACAGCAAGGGUCAGGAUCUCUGAGUGCACUGGCAUUUGAUCACAGAAGAGACAGGCCCUGUGAACAGCUGCAGUCCCUCCCAGGUCAUCACGGACCUCAGAUGAGAUGCUAAAAGGCCAGAUACUCUUGCUGGAAAGCUCCUUGUCCAAAAGGAAGAUCAGAAAGUGUUACAGAGGCGUUAAGAAGAUGCUGACUUCCAAUUGAGAAUUCCUCCUUAAUAUAAUCAACAGGAAAGGAGAGAUGAGAACGGAGGAAGUGCCCUGGAUGAUAGACACCGUUUCCAAUC